CGCGCACGGGUUGUGUCGUUGCUGCGUCGCGUCGCGCGUCGCGUCAAUCUCUCCUUCCUCCUCCCUCUCUCUCCCUCGCUUCGACGAGAGAUCGCACGAGCUAGAUAGAUCGUUGCCGUCGUUGGAUUCGUUCGGCUCCGUGUAUCAGUGCUCGAGAGAGAGAGAAAAAGAUCGCCCUCGUGGGAACGCAUUCCUCGGAGUACGUUGCGUACCGCGGUACUGUAUCCUGUUUCGCGCAUUACUUCACUCGCACGCGCGCGCGCGCGCGCUCGCGCUCGCGCGCAGUCAUAUCAUAGUAAUACACAAGGAUCCUCGCGCCGCGCAUAUCCUCGCGUGUAACCGUCCGGUGCCGACCUUUCCCCGAGGGUCCUCGAGUGUCAACGACGCGCCCGCGGCCUGUGUGUGUGUGGUUUUCCAGUGCGCGGGAUGAUGUGACGCCGUGCGCCACAUUUUCGAACGACGCGGGCCGGGAAACGCGCGCUCGCUCCAAGUAGUUCGGGAGUGCCGGGGAGGGUUUGUUGGUGCCGAGGGCCGUAGAGUAUUCUCGUGGUAUCGUCGCGGUAUGUCGCGCGGCCGUGCGUGCGGCGUCCUUUGUGGUCGGCGCGGGAGAUAAGGGGAACAACAAGAGUAACGCGAAACGAGAGGCGGAGGGGUCGACGAAAGGUGGCCGGAGUCAACGGCGUGAAGUUGCCGUCGCGUCGCUUCGAUUAAACGGAUACGACGACCGCCGACCGGAGCUAGCCGUCGGAUGGUUGGAGGAUUAAACAACAUAGUGCCAUUUGGACCAAAACGACGGUGAUAACCUGGAAGCAUUAAUCAUUCCAACGUCUCGCCAGAUACUUUAAUCCGGAAAGAUGAAAGCAUAACUUACAAUUAGGCAUUGUACCCACUUGGUA